rnacentral:tRNA from 1 species
GCGUGAAUGGUGGAAUGGUAGACACGCAGGCUUGAGGUGUCUGUGAUUAAUAAUCGUGAGAGUUCAAGUCUCUUUUCACGCA